AGCAGCCGCGGUAAUUCCAGCUCCAAUAGCGUAUAUUAAAGUUGUUGCAGUUAAAAAGCUCGUAGUUGAACUUCGGGGUUCACCCAUUGGUCAGGCUUAAUUGUCUGCACUGGUGAGAUGAGUCUCUACCUUCUGAGGAACUUUCAUGCCAUUUAUUUGGUGUGGUUGGAAAUCAGGACUGUUACUUUGAAAAAAUUAGAGUGUUUAAAGCAGGCUAACGUCUGAAUACAUUAGCAUGGAAUAAUGAAAUAGGACGGACUGAUUCUAUUUCGUUGGUUUCUAGGAUCACCGUAAUGAUUAAUAGGGAUAGUUGGGGGCAUUAGUAUUCAAUUGUCAGAGGUGAAAUUCUUGGAUUUAUUGAAGACUAACUACUGCGAAAGCAUUUGCCAAGGAUGUUUCUAUUAAUCAAGAACGAGAGUUAGGGGAUCGAAGACGAUCAGAUACCGUCGUAGUCUUAACCAUAAACUAUAGCCGACUAGGGAUCGGACGAAGUUAAUUUUAUUAAUGACGUCGUCGGUCG
rnacentral:rRNA from 1 species